AUAUGUUAUUGCGGGAGCUUGCGGAAGCAGGCUGAGAGUACGGCUAUAUUCCGCCGUUGACCGUUCGAACCUGUUUGGGUAAUGCCAGCGCAGGGAAAGUGACGUGGGAUGCGU
rnacentral:ncRNA from 2 species